GCACUCUCGUUAGAUUGAAGAAGCUUGCUUCUGAUUGAUAACAUUUGAGUGAGUGGCGGACGGGUGAGUAACACGUGGGUAACCUGCCCUAAAGUGGGGGAUAACAUUUGGAAACAGAUGCUAAUACCGCAUAAAACCUAGCACCGCAUGGUGCAAGGUUGAAAGAUGGUUUCGGCUAUCACUUUAGGAUGGACCCGCGGUGCAUUAGUUAGUUGGUGAGGUAAAGGCUCACCAAGACCGUGAUGCAUAGCCGACCUGAGAGGGUAAUCGGCCACACUGGGACUGAGACACGGCCCAGACUCCUACGGGAGGCAGCAGUAGGGAAUCUUCCACAAUGGACGAAAGUCUGAUGGAGCAACGCCGCGUGAGUGAAGAAGGUUUUCGGAUCGUAAAACUCUGUUGUUGGAGAAGAACGUAUUUGAUAGUAACUGAUCAGGUAGUGACGGUAUCCAACCAGAAAGCCACGGCUAACUACGUGCCAGCAGCCGCGGUAAUACGUAGGUGGCAAGCGUUGUCCGGAUUUAUUGGGCGUAAAGCGAGCGCAGGCGGUUUCUUAAGUCUGAUGUGAAAGCCUUCGGCUCAACCGAAGAAGUGCAUCGGAAACUGGGAAACUUGAGUGCAGAAGAGGACAGUGGAACUCCAUGUGUAGCGGUGAAAUGCGUAGAUAUAUGGAAGAACACCAGUGGCGA
rnacentral:rRNA from 1 species